CCUCUUUAAAAAGUUUUAGUUCCCUGUUCUUUGUUUCUUAAGACCAACUUCCUUGUACUUCCUUGUCUCCUAGCUACCUGUUCUGUAAACAGCCUUCCUGCCUUUGCCAUGCUCAGACAAGUCCAGAUAUGCCUUCCCAGCUAGUAAUGGACAGUCCCUCUUCCUUCCCACCUAAUAGACCCUAUUCAAUUUUAAACCUUAGCCAAUCAAGUUAGCUUAGAUUGUGAGGUCCAACCCCAGCCAAUGGGGAAAGGAUACAGAAGUGCUAGGAACUGCCUUAGGGAGUAAAAACCCCUGCCCUACCCUGCUUUGUGUGCUUUUGCGAUUGUGACUGCUGCAAGCUGCACCCUUCUGCAGAAGUAAAUUUGUCUUGCUGAGGAAUUUUCUGCCUACGUGCUGUUUUUAUUUGAGGCACCAGGCACUUGUUUCUAACAAAUUUGGGGGUUCGUCUGGGAUUCCCAUUCUCCUCCUAGGAGGGGUCUCAGAUCAUCUCUCGUGAGGAGACGCAGCCCACUGCUUUGUUGAGGUGGCCUCAAGGGUAAGGGAUGGUGUGAUGAAUAAACCUGGAUUCCAGUAAUGCGGGAAGAAAAGGCCUACAGAUACCGUGGUGACCAGGUAACUCUGUGCACAGACCAAGGAAAUUCAAAUGCAGAAAAAAACCCAUGCCCCACACCAGAAGAACUGGGGCAUAGAUGUUCAGAUAAACUCCCUUUCAAACCGGAAGACACCUUUUUGUAGAUGGUUCUUCUCAAGUAACAAAAGGGAAAAGGCAUAACGGGUACUCAGAAGUAGACGGAGACAUCCUACCUAAUGACUGGUCUGAGCAAACGACUCAAGGCCUCCUAGCACAAACUCCAAUCCUUGAAUUCCCAGUUCAUCAACACCAGCCUGGAGAUCACAUCCUUAUCAGAAGUUGGAAAGAGGGAAAGCUCGAACCCACUUGGGAAAGACCUUACCUAGUGCUCCUCACAACUGAGACAGCAGUCCAGACCGCUGAGAGAGGAUGGACCCAUCACACCCGAGUACCCUCUCCAAAGUACCUACCCUGGACAAAGAAAUGAAGCUGGCAUUUGGGAACUAAAUGUAUCUUGAGAUAGUGCAUCUGGAGCUGGUUCCUUUCGGCAGGUUCUUGGUCUAGCUGACUUCAAGAAUGGAGCUGCGGACCUUCGCGAAUCUGGAAGUUCGACUGUUGCAUCUCCCUUGGGCUGAUGUUGCUGACUGCACACUUGAAGUUCUGUUCAACACACUACUCUGUCCUGUGGUCGUCCUGAGAAUUGCCAGCUGAAUCCAGAGACUGGCUCAGGCUCAGGAUUGAUCCCUUUGGUCAGACUGCAGCCUCUGGAGUUCGGCGAACAUAUCUGACCUGUCCCUGAACAUUCUCCCUUCUGCCUCUUUGCGCUGUUCUGUCUUCCCACACCACGCUUCCACACACCCCACGCUGACACACUGAGACCCUGCCCGGCCCCAGGCCCAACUCAGAGGCCACCCAGCAAGGAACCACUUUGGCAGAAAGCCUACCAUCUCUCCACGUGACAGUCCUUUGUAAGCACCUUCGAUUUUCUUUAGCACAUUCUACCUUAUUUUGCUGGUCUAAAGUAGUAACAGUCCAGGGCGGCCAAUGUUUAUUGAAAGCUUUGAGUGUGCCAGUCACCAUGUAACGGGCUUACAUGCCGUUGUGGUUUGAAUGUUUGUGUCUCUCCAAAAUUCAUGUUGGAGCUUUGGGAGGUGAUUAGGCUAUGAGGGCUCCACCCUCGUGAAUGGGAUUAAUGCCCUUAUAAGGGAGGCUCCAGAAAGCUGUUUGGCUUUUCUGUCUUUUCUGUCACAUGAGAACACAUUGUCCCUUCCGUGUCUUCCAUCACAGGAGGACACCCUAGAUGGCACCACCUAUGAGGAGGGAACCCUCCCCACACACUUAACCUGCUGGCACCUUGAUCUCGGACUUUCUAGGCUUCAAAGGAUAUAAAUUUCUGUACUUUAUAAAUUGUCCAGUCUCGGGUAUUUUAUUAAAGCAUACAAACAGACUUGUAUUCUCUCCUUUAUCUUGCAAACCUCUAUAGCCAUGUCCAUUUUAUUGAGGCUCAGAGAUGCUAAGGAGCCCAAGGUCACACAGCUAGUAAGGAACAGGGCCAGGCAUUCAUUCAUUCAUGAAUUCAUUAAUUCAUUCAAUCAAUAUUUACUUAUUUAUUAAAGGCCUAUAAUGUGCUAAUCAUAGUCUAGAUGUUGGGAAAAUAACAGUAAUCAAGUCAAAGUGCUCGUACACAAGGAGCUACCAUUCUAGCGGGAAGAAACAUAUCCUAAAGAAAAAUACAAGUCAAUAAAUACUGUGUCAGGUGGUGAUAAAUGCUAUGGGGAAGAAAGAGGGUAAGUGAUAGCUUAAGUGGGUCUGCUGUUUAUAUAGGGUGGUCAAGGUGAUCUGGCAACAUUUGAGCAGAGAUCCAAAGGAAGUGAGUCAUGCAGAGAUCUGCAGGAAAAAAACAUCAAAGAGGUGGGAACAGCCUAUGCAAAGGCCCUGGGGUGGGCACAUCUUUGACAUGUUAGAGAAGCAGCAAGGAGUUUAGUGUGGCUGGAGCUGAGUGAGGGGAGAGAAACUGAGGUGACAGGGGUUAGAUCAUGGAGGGCCUUGCGGUUAUGGCAGAAACUUCGGUUUUGACUUUUACGAAACAGGGAGCCACUAAAGGACAGCUCCCGGAACCCAUGUCCUUAAUUGCUAUGCUAUACUACUGAUGGACCACAUGAAUGAAUGGCAAAAGGUACUUGGGGACUUUUUCUCAUUAAAACCAGCAGAAUGGUGGCCAGAGAGUCUAGAAACAACCCAUGGAAGGGCAAGAUGUGAGUUAACAAGGAGGGCUAAUUGGGGAGGGGGGAAGUGCCCAUCGCCUUGGUUGCCGGGAGUCUCUGUGGUUCCCACAGCACAGGACUGUGUGGGGCCCUGUGAUGUGUGGGGCCCCAGUGGGUCCUCUACCUGGAUUUGCAGAGCAGAUUUUCCAGGCCUGCCCCAGAUGGGCCUCAGCCCUUCCAUGAAAGGUGUCCUUUGCUAACAAGAGGCAGAGAGAAAAAGCCAAUGUUUGCAAUAACUCACCAGAGAGAAAUGAAAAUUGUGCCCAGACUGGAAAAUAACUCAUCUGAAAGUGACACAUUCGCCUCCUAUAUAUAUAUAUAUAUACACAUAUAUAAAACUUUUUCUUUUCUUUUUCCUUCUCAUUUGAAGGAAGGCAGAGCCUUCUCACAUACACUGCUUUACAGCAGGAAAAUCUACUCCGCAAACUUCUGAAAUUCCUGUCCUUAUUCCUGUCACAAUUCUCUCAGAGGCAAAAGGACAUCAUAUCUGGGGAGGUGGCCAUCUGAUGGCAGGACAGCAAGCGUGGGCCCUGGCAUUCCCAGGACAAUCCCAAUAGCAAGUAUUCUUCUGAUUGGCUGCCCCCCCUACCCCGCCCCACUGCCAACUAACCAGCUAUUCUCAAACUUGGGAGUGCAUACGUUAAAAUGCAGAUUCCGGGAACUCUGAUUCGGGAAGUCUGGGAGGAGGCUCGGACACUGCAUUUUAAAUAGAGAAUCUCCAAUGAUUCUGAUGCAGGCUGUGUAAGAAGUACUUCCCCAAACCACAGGAAUAGUCCCAGUAGCCCCAGCCUUCUGCAUCUACGCUUAAAGGAUGAAGUGAUCCCAAUCCUUUCUCGGACCACAGAGAGGCACGUUUUAGCUCCUGGCAGAGGUCAGAAUGCUCCUGGCCAAAUCGGAGUCGUGGAGAAUCUUGAAAUCCCAGUCCUUGCCCCUGGCCAUCCCAACUCUCUUCAUUUAUCUUCCUGACUUGAGCUUCUGGACUCUGCCCAGCAUUUGCUGUCUGGGUCAUAGCCAGGAAGGCCCUGGUGCUGGGGCAUGGAGCUACCCUGGGCCUUCGAUACAAGCCAUAGCUGGAGAGGGAGCCAGAACUUGCCUAAGCCUCUGAUCAUGAAGUAUAACAGAAAUGUCUAAUUGUGAUUAUGAAACACUGUUUCACAUCUUAAUUUGUUGAAGCUACAUGUUGACAGUAGGUACUCCCUUAGCAGGGGGAAACAAAAGGACCCCGCUCUAUUAUUACUGUAAUUUACUGGAAUAAGGAGCCACCAGAUGCAGCCCUGGCUCACACCCCUCCCUCAUGAAUUACAAAGCUGGUCUGAGGGCCCUGUCAGUUGCUGGCUUUGGGAACCAACAUUGCUAUUUAAAAUCCUCCUGUGGUGCAUUCCACUUCGUUGAGAUCUCUCCUCAGACGCCAUCUUCCUUACCCACUGGUCUAAAUGACUCUCUUCCCCAGUGCCCCUCUCUUGUUAUUUCUAACCUCUUAGCCUACUUUAUUUCCUUCAGAGCAUCCACCACUAUUUGAAUUACAAAUUGAUUUGUUUGCUUGCUACUUUAUCGUCUGCCUUAAUCCAUCUAGAAGGUAAGUUCUUCAAGAGCUAUGAUCUUGUCAUGUUCAACACCGUAUUUUGAUGCCUUGCACAUAACAGGCACUCAACUGAUAGUUUCUGAAUGAAUCAAUCAAUGAUAAAUGAAUGAAUGUUACAACGCUCUGAGGGCCCUGGAGUCAUCUCUAACUGCAUGAUGCUCUACUUAUUGGAUCCAGCGGUCUUUGGGGACUAAGCAGAUACACAAAAAAUAACAACAGCUGCUUUUUUUUUUUCUUUUG